GUACACGACCGUACCGCAAACCGACACUGGUGCGCGAGAUGAGUAUUCUAAGGCGCUUGAGAGAACUCAGGAGAAGGAACUCGGCAAAUUGACACCGUAACUUCGGAAGAAGGUGUGCCUUUAGUAGGUGAACCUGUACAAGGGGAGCCCAAUGAGGUUGCAAAAAAUCGGUGGCUGCGACUGUUUAAUAAAAACACAGCACUCUGCAAACACGAAAGUGGACGUAUAGGGUGUGACGCCUGCCCGGUGCUGGAAGAUUAAAUGAUGGGGUGCAAGCUCUUGAUUGAAGUCCCAGUAAACGGCGGCCGUAACAAUAACGGUCCUAAGGUAGCGAAAUUCCUUGUCGGGUAAGUUCCGACCUGCACGAAUGGCGUAACGAUGGCCACACUGUCUCCUCCUGAGACUCAGCGAAGUUGAAAUGUUUGUGAUGAUGCAAUCUCCCCGCGGAAAGACGGAAAGACCCCAUGAACCUUUACUGUAGCUUUGUAUUGGACUUUGAACAGAUCUGUGUAGGAUAGGUGGGAGGCUUUGAAGUGUGGUCGCUAGAUCGCAUGGAGCCAACGUUGAAAUACCACCCUGGUGUGUUUGAGGUUCUAACCUAGGCCCGUAAUCCGGGUCGGGGACAGUGCAUGGUAGGCAGUUUGACUGGGGCGGUCUCCUCCCAAAGCGUAACGGAGGAGUUCGAAGGUACGCUAGGUACGGUCGGACAUCGUGCUAAUAGUGCAAUGGCAUAAGCGUGCUUAACUGCGAGACUGACAAGUCGAGCAGAUGCGAAAGCAGGACAUAGUGAUCCGGUGGUUCUGUAUGGAAGGGCCAUCGCUCAACGGAUAAAAGGUACUCUGGGGAUAACAGGCUGAUACCGCCCAAGAGUUCAUAUCGACGGCGGUGUUUGGCACCUCGAUGUCGGCUCAUCUCAUCCUGGGGCUGUAGCCGGUCCCAAGGGUAUGGCUGUUCGCCAUUUAAAGAGGUACGUGAGCUGGGUUUAAAACGUCGUGAGACAGUUUGGUCCCUAUCUUCCGUGGGCGCUGCAGAUUUGAGGAAGCCUGCUCCUAGUACGAGAGGACCGGAGUGGACACACCUCUGGUGUAUCGGUUGUCACGCCAGUGGCAUUGCCGAGUAGCUAUGUGUGGAAGAGAUAACCGCUGAAAGCAUCUAAGCGGGAAACUCGUUUCAAGAUGAGAUCUGCCGGGGCCUUGAGCCCCCUAAAGAGUCGUUCAAGACCAGGACGUUGAUAGGUCGGGUGUGGAAGCGCAGUAAUGCGUUAAGCUAACCGAUACUAAUUGCUCGUGCGGCUUGACCCU
rnacentral:rRNA from 1 species